rnacentral:misc_RNA from 1 species
UAAGUGCGAUAACUAAUGUGAAUUGCAUAAAUUUGUGAAUCAUCGAGUCUUUGAACGCAUCUUGCGCUUUCGGGACAACCGAAAGCAUGGCUGUUUGAGUGUCGUAAAUAAUAUCUCAUCAGUGUGAUGAGGACUUGAGGCAUCAAAGGUCCUCCUUGGCAUUAGGUCUUGCUGCGGACAGUCGUCUGCCUUGGCCGUCAAGGAAACUCUGUGCCUUGAAAUGUAGACACCGAAAGCCAAGUGUCGCCUGGCACUGCUUAAAGUGAGGUAAAAGACAGUCGUCUUUCAAUCACUGACACGCAGACUUGUGCAACCUUGGCAAAGAUCUUUCGGUCAAGUAUAGUAGCCUUUACGGCUCUUACACCUUUUAACAUUGACCUCAAAUCAGCCAAGAAUACCCGCUGAACUUAA